rnacentral:rRNA from 1 species
AUGCAAGUCGAACGGUAGCACAGAGAGCUUGCUCUCGGGUGACGAGUGGCGGACGGGUGAGUAAUGUCUGGGAAACUGCCUGAUGGAGGGGGAUAACUACUGGAAACGGUAGCUAAUACCGCAUAACGUCGCAAGACCAAAGAGGGGGACCUUCGGGCCUCUUGCCAUCAGAUGUGCCCAGAUGGGAUUAGCUAGUAGGUGGGGUAACGGCUCACCUAGGCGACGAUCCCUAGCUGGUCUGAGAGGAUGACCAGCCACACUGGAACUGAGACACGGUCCAGACUCCUACGGGAGGCAGCAGUGGGGAAUAUUGCACAAUGGGCGCAAGCCUGAUGCAGCCAUGCCGCGUGUAUGAAGAAGGCCUUCGGGUUGUAAAGUACUUUCAGCGGGGAGGAAGGUGUUGCGGUUAAUAACCGCAGCAAUUGACGUUACCCGCAGAAGAAGCACCGGCUAACUCCGUGCCAGCAGCCGCGGUAAUACGGAGGGUGCAAGCGUUAAUCGGAAUUACUGGGCGCAAAGCGCACGCAGGCGGUCUGUCAAGUCGGAUGUGAAAUCCCCGGGCUCAACCUGGGAACUGCAUUCGAAACUGGCAGGCUAGAGUCUUGUAGAGGGGGGUAGAAUUCCAGGUGUAGCGGUGAAAUGCGUAGAGAUCUGGAGGAAUACCGGUGGCGAAGGCGGCCCCCUGGACAA